GUGGGGAAUCUUCCGCAAUGGACGAAAGUCUGACGGAGCGACGCCGCGUGAGUGAAGAAGGCCUUCGGGUCGUAAAGCUCUGUCAUCAGGGACGAACGGCCGGUGGAGUGGAAAGCCACCGGAUUGACGGUACCUGAGAAGGAAGCCACGGCUAACUACGUGCCAGCAGCCGCGGUAAUACGUAGGUGGCAAGCGUUGUCCGGAAUUAUUGGGCGUAAAGCGCGCGCAGGUGGGAUCUUAAGUCCAUUUUUAAAGUUCGGAGCUCAACUCCGUGAUGGGAUUGAAACUGGGAUUCUUGAGUACCGGAGAGGAAAGCGGAAUUCCCCGUGUAGCGGUGAAAUGCGUAGAUAUGGGGAGGAACACCAGUGGCGAAGGCGGCUUUCUGGACGGUGUCUGACACUGAGGCGCGAAAGCCAGGGGAGCGAACGGGAUUAGAAACCCCUGUAGUCC
rnacentral:rRNA from 1 species